rnacentral:rRNA from 1 species
CCCUACGGGACGCAGCAGUGAGGAAUAUUGGUCAAUGGGCGGGAGCCUGAACCAGCCAAGUCGCGUGAAGGAAGAAGGUACUUAGUAUUGUAAACUUCUUUUGUCGGGGAACAAAGGCGGAGACGCGUCUCCGGAUGAGUGUACCCGCAGAAAAAGCAUCGGCUAACUCCGUGCCAGCAGCCGCGGUAAUACGGAGGAUGCGAGCGUUAUCCGGAUUUAUUGGGUUUAAAGGGCGCGCAGGCGGGAGAUCAAGUCAGCAGUAAAAUUACGGCGC